UACCUCCUGACUGAGCUAACGGGAGACAGAUGAUGAACGGCGCGGCGCCUUCGGACUGCCGCCACGCCGUUUGUGCGUUCCCGUACAGUGCCAAUUAUUGUUGCGCACUCCGCGUCCGACGUUCCACCGGGUACCCGUUCCCGGGUCCUGACAAAACGGUUCCCGGCUGGCACGGUAAGCGGUUUCAAACCGCGUCAAAAAGAAUGAGAUUCACAGCUCAUCGGAUUCCUGCAGCAUAAAGACUCCAUUCCGUAUUCCACCGGCGUCCCACGCCUCUCGCACGCCCCCCGGCACGCCGGGGCGAGCGACAUCUCGUGGCAUUCACGCCACGUGCAGCUCGAGUCGCUGCUGCGCCCUCGGGGCCCCGGGAUGGAUGAACGGGGGUCGGGCAGCGAGGUCUCUGGAGAGCGGUGGCGCAGCGGUGAGGUCACCCGCGCCACGUGCGUUCAACUUCUUUCGCGCCGGACGUAAGCCGGACCCUGCCCAUCGCGGCGAACGACCACGGCGAGCGCUCAUGCGCACUGAGCACCGCGACCCCAGCUCCAGCCGCGGCGUUCGCCGCCUCCUCCACCUCCACGUGGAGACCACGGAGUCUGUGCCGGGGUUACCACCUCCACGUGGAGACCACGGAGUCUGUGCCGGGGUCGCCACCUCCACGUGGAGACCACGGAGUCUGUGCCGGAGUGGAAGGAUGGGUGAUUGAGUUGGUGCCAAAUCAUUCCGGAGUGUCCCGCUCAAGCCCGGACAGGUGGACAGCGCCCUUCCAACCGGGCUCGGCGCGAGCCCACGACGCCGAGGGGCUUCCUUUGCCCCCCCCCCCAAAGUUGCAUUCCUCGACCACGUGACCCAAUUGUUUAUUUAAUUAAUUGCCCCCCCCCCCCCAACCUUCACAGACCCCCCCCCCCUACACCCCUCCCCCCGUUCGCAGUGUAGGAGCCUCACCACAUUGACAUUGACACAAUCAAUGUCCACUGACAGACACGCAUGCUAAUCCACUGCUGGACGAGUUCUCUCCCCGGUUACGGUGGGAGGCGCGAGGUGUACAACCACACAUCACCGGGCUGGUCGGUGAAGGCGGGGCUCAUAGGUAGACGUGGGAAGGGAGGCGGGGGCGCAUAGCGGUGCAGUACAACGAUGGGUGUCACGUGUACAGCUGUAACAAUCCUCCUCGUGGCUCCGUUCGGAAUGCACUGCGUGGGGGAGGGGGGGGGGGCUUAGCCGGGGAUCGAACCGACGCCCACGUGGUUCUCAGCCCCUGGGGCGAGGUCACUGUGGUCGCCACAGUCGAUAGAGGUGCG